AGCAGCCGCGGUAAUUCCAGCUCCAAUAGCGUAUAUUAAAGUUGUUGCAGUUAAAAAGCUCGUAGUUGAAUUUCGGGAUCAGUUCGUCGGUCGUGCCUUUGGUAUGUACUGGUGUUACUGGUUCCUCCCUUCUGACGAACCGUCAUGUCAUUAAUUUGGUGUGGCGGGAAAUCAGGACUGUUACUUUGAAAAAUUAGAGUGUUUAAAGCAGGCUCGCGCUUGAAUACAUUAGCAUGGAAUAAUGAAAUAGGACGUUCGAUCCUAUUUUGUUGGUUUCUAGGAUUGACGUAAUGAUUAAUAGGAAUAGUUGGGGGCAUUAGUAUUCAAUUGUCAGAGGUGAAAUUCUUGGAUUUAUUGAAGACUAACUACUGCGAAAGCAUUUGCCAAGGAUGUUUUCAUUAAUCAAGAACGAAAGUUAGGGGAUCGAAGACGAUCAGAUACCGUCGUAGUCUUAACCAUAAACUAUGCCGACUAGGGAUCGGAUGAUGUAAUUUUUAAUGACUCA
rnacentral:rRNA from 1 species